GCGGGGGGCGCCGCUGGGGACAGGGGACGGGUUGCAGCGCACCUGCCCGGCGGGUGUCCCCGCUGCCCUGCACAGCGCGGUGCGCACAGAAACUCUCUAGAGAAGUAAGGCUCAAAGUGUGUGUGUGUGUGGUUCUCCCUCCCGUGCAAGGUGAGUGGUGUGCGUGUGUUUUUGUUUAUUCCUCUCUCGCCUGUGGGGUGUGUGUGUGUCUCCGUCUCUCCUCUGCAGUGUCUGUGUUGUACCGUGUGUGUGUGUGUGUGUGUGUGUGUGUGCAUGCAUGCAUAUUCCUCGCUUCCCUUCAGUUUGUGUGGCGUGUAUGCGUGUGUAUUCCUCUCUCUUCUGCAGCUUGUGUGCCUGUUCGUGUGUGUGUGUGUGUGUGUGUGUAUGUAUUCCUCCCUCCCUUGCAGGUUUGGGCAGGGAGGGUAUCCCUUCUCCUGCCCAAAUCUCCAGUUCAAACACUCGCUGCCCUAAAAGCCAUCCUUAACAAAAACCUCGCCUGCCUUCAUCACUUCCUGUGAAUAAGCCUUUCCAGGAUCCCAAAAUCAUCUAGACUGUGCCAGGGAGUGGAGGGAAAAAAGAUCAUUUUGCAGGUGAAAUAUUAGUACUACAUCUAAGGGGGCACCAGAAAAGCAGGGGGAGUCUCACUUCUUUCCAAGAUUUAAAAGAAGGAGAAGAGCUCUGCAUAAUUGUUAAGAAAGACAAAUGAAGGUGGGGUAAGAGGGUGAAAGGUGGAAAAUGAGGAGGUUAAAAAGAAAAAAAGUGCCCCCAGGCUCUGAGAAAGCAGGCACAGGGCACAGCUGUCAUUUGAGAGAUAUAUGGCUCUGUUUUGGUUGCAAUAAUUAGAGUGCAAACUGUGUUAGAAAUCUACUUGUCAGCAUCACAUUUCUUUGCACCAGAAAGAAAACUGAUAAAUAUCUGGAGGGCAAAACACUUCAGGUUAUAUCCAGUUUCAGGCUUUCGAGUUGAUUGGUUGCAGCACUAAAAGCUUAAAAAUUUUUCUCCUCUCUCCUGCUUGUGAUUUUUAAAAGAUACAGGAAUUCCCAGGGGUGUGGGCUUGCAGAGGAAUUAGUAUCCCUUUUGUAUCCAUAAUCAUUGACCAUGAGCUUUCCUUCACCACCUGUCUCAUCUACUAAAUUCCUGUCUUCCUCUUAUGGAAACGUAAAGACAAAAAUAUAAUGCUACCUUGAAGAACAACCCUAUUGACAAUGACAAUAAACUGAACAGGGCUAGCGUGCGACAGAGAUAGAAGAAAAGGACACACCAACUGCAGAGAUUUCCUCAGCCUGAUGAAGGGUUUUUGAACCCGAAAGCUUGCUAAAACAUUUUUGUUGCCAACUAUUUAAGUUGUUCUAAUAAAAGAUACCAGAUUCA